GCAUCUAUAGCUCAGUUGGAUAGAGCGUUGGACUUCGAAUCCAGUGGUCGGGGGUUCAAUUCCCUCUAGGUGCACCA
rnacentral:tRNA from 1 species